GUCUGGUUUCAGUUUAGAGCGUGGUAAAUCGACAAUGUUGGUGGUGACGCUUGGUGCCUUCAUUCUUCUGCAAGUUAAGGAUUUGAGUGUGCAGAAGCAGGAAGCAACGGAAGGCGACGGGAAUCAAUCAGGUUACAUGAUCAUUGAAGGACGUAUGGACUGGAGACCGUUUGCGACCGUGCCUGGCACAUACUCUUCCGUCACCUGUGAAACUCAGUCCUCUGUGUAAUGCCUAGAGUGGCUUCUGCUCCUGAUUGGAU